ACCCAUCACCCACACUGGGUUCCAUUUGCCUGCUCAACUAGGUUCAGAAAGAUGAAGAUAUUGCUGGCUCCAGUGAUCUGACAGGCUUCGCACCCCAGGAAAGCUCAAAACAGACGGGCAACACAGAAAUGUGCGCAUCUAGUUACAGGCCAGGCAGGAGGGUUUGAUGAACUCCUCUGUUGAAGAAUGAUGUUGGAGCCAGAGAGUCUAUGUAUGAAUUCUCUGUCACACUCCACUCCUCCAAAGGCUAGAGUGGACCGACUCUAGCAUCCUACAUCUAUUUCCACCCACUGACAAAGGGAUGAGGGGAGGCACACAUAUGCACAUUACUAAGUGUGAACAAAAUCAUGACAUCCCCCAAGCCAAGAGAUGGCAGAAUGACCUUUGUGGCCAGUGGUGGGUCAGAAAAGCCCCAAGCUUGUCUUGCUGGAAGCCGAAGAUGCCCCCGAAGACAUCCAGUCUACCAGGACCGUGAACUUCAAUGACGGGACAGUAAUUAUCGUGACUAAUUUGAAGAUGAUCAAAAGCAACCACCCUGUUUUUACACUAGCACUGUUGGUUUCUAAAUACACAGUCUGUGAGUCAAAAUUGAGCUUCAGUUUUGGCAGACUCUGGCUGCCAGUCUCCCUCAGUCCUUACCUGGCACAGCAUCCUCCCUCCCCCUCCCCGCCCUUCCCAGCUGACAUACUCUGCCUCCUACCCUAAAGUUUUUAGCCCAGGCCUGGUCUGGGCUUCCCGGUCUCCAGAAUCUGACUCUUGUAAAACCAUAGCCAUUUUGGCUACUGAUCCUUUUGGGGUUCUUGGCUUUUUGUUCUCUUGGCCCUUGGAUUCUCUCUUCUCUCCCCCUUCCCCUCAGUCUCUCUCUCUCUCUUUCUGUUUCUAGGGCCCAGUUUAGUCUGGACUUUUCCUGACGUUUCUUGUCAGUGC